UGCGAUAAAUCAUUCAAGUUUCUGCCCUAUCAGCUUUGGAUGGUAGUGUAUUGGACUACCAUGGCAGUCACGGGUAACGGAGAAUUAGGGUUCGAUUCCGGAGAGGGAGCCUGAGAAACGGCUACCACAUCUACGGAAGGCAGCAGGAGCGAAAAUUGCCCAAUCCCGACACGGGGAGGCAGUGACGAGAAAUAACAACUCUUGGUUAUUCUAAGAAGUGUAAUGAGGAUAAUUUAAAACCCUUACCGAAAGCAAUUGGAGGGCAAGUCUGGUGCCAGCAGCCGCGGUAAUUCCAGCUCCAAUAGCGUAUAUUAAAGUUGUUGCAGUUAAAAAGCUCGUAGUUGAAGUUCUGGCUGCUUGACCCUCGAGCUCUGUAGCCGAGGGCUCAGCAGUCAUCCGCUUGCAAAUAUAUGUUCGCCUUUAACCGGGCGGCUAUAUGAGUAAGCAUUUUACCUUGAGAAAAACAGAGUGUUCCAGGCAGGUUUGUCCGGAAUGCAUUAGCAUGGAAUAAUAGAAUAUGACUGAAGUCGAUUUAUUGGUUUGAGGCUUUAGUAAUGAUUAAUAGGAACAGUCGGGGGCAUUGGUACUUGUCAGUCAGAGGUGAAACUCUAGGAUUUGACAAAGACUAACAAAUGCGAAAGCAUUUGCCAAGGAUGUUUUCAUUAAUCAAGAACGAAAGUUAGGGGAUCAAAGACGAUCAGAUACCGUCCUUCUUAACUAUAAACUAUACCGACUCGGAUUCAGAUGAAUCAUAAAGUUCAUUUGGGACCGUAGGAGAAAUCAAAGUUUUUGGGUUCUGGGGGAAGUAUGGUCGCAAGGCUGAAACUUAAAGGAAUUGACGGUUUUGCACCACCAUGGAGUGGAGUCUGCGGCUUAAUUUGACCCAACACUGGGAAACUCAUCAGGGCAAGAAGAUUGUAGGAUUGACAGAUUGAGAGUUCUUUCUUGAUUGGUCUAGUGGUGGUGCAUGGCCGUUCUUAGUUGGUGGAGUGAUUUGUCUGGUUAAUUCCGUUAACGAACGAGACCUUAACCUGCUAACUAGUACACCGAUGACAAAUCGGUGAUACUUCUUAGGGGGACUAUGUGAUGUAAUCACAUGGAAGUUUGAGGCAAUAACAGGUCUGUGAUGCCCUUAGAUGUCCUGAGCUGCACGCGUACUACAAUGGUGCUUUCAUCGAGCUUUUCCUGAUCCGAAAGGAUUUGGGUAAUCUUUUUAGUGAGCACCGUGCUUGGGAUAGAUCUCUGUAAUUAUGGAUCUUGAACUAGGAAUUCCUAGUAAGCACGUGUCAUCAGCACGU
rnacentral:rRNA from 1 species